rnacentral:rRNA from 1 species
AUUGAACGCUGGCGGCAUGCCUUACACAUGCAAGUCGAACGGCAGCACGGGUGCUUGCACCUGGUGGCGAGUGGCGAACGGGUGAGUAAUAUAUCGGAACGUACCUUAUUGUGGGGGAUAACCCAGCGAAAGCUGUGCUAAUACCGCAUAAUCCCUAAGGGGGAAAGCGGGGGACCGUAAGGCCUCGCGCAAUUAGAGCGGCCGAUACCUGAUUAGCUAGUUGGUGAGGUAAAGGCUCACCAAGGCAACGAUCAGUAGCUGGUCUGAGAGGACGAUCAGCCGCACUGGGACGAGGACACGGCCCAGACUCCUACGGGAGGCAGCAGUGGGGAAUUUUGGACAAUGGGGGCAACCCUGAUCCAGCAAUGCCGCGUGAGUGAAGAAGGCCUUCGGGUUGUAAAGCUCUUUUGUCAGGGAAGAAACAGCAGCUCUAACACAGUUUGCGAAUGACGGUACCUGAAGAAUAAGCACCGGCUAACUACGUGCCAGCCGCCGCAGUAA